AGUGAACGCUGGCGGCAGGCCUAACACAUGCAAGUCGAGCGGCAGCGCGGGGGCAACCCUGGCGGCGAGCGGCGGACGGGUGAGGAAUUCGUCGGAAUCUGCCUUUUUGUGGGGGAUAACGUAGGGAAACUUACGCUAAUACCGCAUACGACCUACGGGCGAAAGGGGGGGACCGCAAGGCCUCACGCAGAAAGAUGAGCCGACGACCGAUUAGCUAGUUGGUGGGGUAAAGGCCCACCAAGGCGACGAUCGGUAGCUGGUCUGAGAGGAUGAUCAGCCACACUGGGACUGAGACACGGCCCAGACUCCUACGGGAGGCAGCAGUGGGGAAUAUUGGACAAUGGGCGCAAGCCUGAUCCAGCCAUGCCGCGUGUGUGAAGAAGGCCUUCGGGUUGUAAAGCACUUUUGUCCGGAAAGAAAUCUUCCAACUUAAUACGUUGGGGGGAUGACGGUACCGGAAGAAUAAGCACCGGCUAACUUCGUGCCAGCCGCCGCCGUAA
rnacentral:rRNA from 1 species